rnacentral:lncRNA from 1 species
GGUAAAUAAGAAUUAAUUGCUAAUACAUAAACUAAACACUCAUUUAAAAUUCCUAGAAACAAAAAUAGAACUAGAUUCAUCUACAAUAACUCUAAUGCAUGAUCCAUAUUCAUCACAUCAAGAUUCAUCAAGUCUAGACUAAUAUUCUAACAUCCUUCCUUAAUCUAGACUCGAAUUACACUUUUAUAGCUCUGACUCAAUUUGGACUAUAUCCAGCAAUCUAGCCUCAUCUAAACCCUCGUCCCUUCAUCUUUCUCUUUCCCACCAUUGCCUAGCUCGUCAUCACAAUGGAAUUGUUAACCGCCACGGUUGUUGGUGUUGGGAAUCUACAUAUCAUUCGCAGCUAAAAAUAAAACAGACUUCAAUUCCCGUCGAGAAUCUCUUUGUGUUUAGAUAGAAAUUGUGAUAGAAGUUGUACCUUUUCCGUAUCUGCAAACUCCUUUGUUUUUCUAUUAUUCCAGCAACCUUGAUUUGUCACCCACAGCUAUCUAAUUGUCCAACUUCUAAUAGAAUUCCACACAGAAAACAAGAUUGUAGAGAGAUCCAGGAUUUAAU